rnacentral:rRNA from 1 species
UACGUAGGGGGCUAGCGUUGUCCGGAUUUAUUGGGCGUAAAGAGCGUGUAGGCGGCUUUACAGGUCCGUUGUGAAAACUCGAGGCUCAACCUCGAGACGCCGGUGGAAACCGUAAAGCUAGAGUCCGGAAGAGGAGAGUGGAAUUCCUGGUGUAGCGGUGAAAUGCGCAGAUAUCAGGAAGAACACCCGUGGCGAAGGCGGCUCUCUGGGACGGUACUGACGCUGAGACGCGAAAGCGUGGGUAGCAAACAGG